ensembl:lncRNA
UGUGUGUGUGUGUGUGCGGGCAGGCGGACGGCCGGGCGUGAGUAUGUCAGUGUGUGUUCCCGUUGGUCUCGCAAACUGUCUUUGUGUUGUAAUCAGAAGGUCUGACCCAGUUCUUUCUCUGUCGCUUUGCUCAAACGACUUACUGAUCCCAUAAUACAGCUGCUCCUACACAUGCACUUGCACACUCCACACGUACACUCCACACGCACAGAGAAAGACAAGUUCCUUAUGAAAGAGAGAACAGAGAACAAACAGCUUCCAGUCAGACAGAGAGAGACAUAUCCAAUGAGAACCUCAACAUUCCACUGCUAAACCAUGAUCCUCUCAAGCUCUGUCAGGUUGGAUGGCGAGCAUCUGUACUUUGCUCCAUGCAUCCUUCCCUCGAUCCUGACUAGUCUCCCAGUCCCUGCCUCUGAAAAACAUCCCCGCAGCAUGAUAGUGCCAGGUUUCCUCCAGGCAUUCAAGCCAAAGAGAUCAAUGUUGGUUUCAUCAGAUCAGAGAAUCUUGUUUCUCAUUGUCAGAGAGUCUUUAGGGGCCUUUUGGCAUACUCCAAGUGGGCUGUCGGGCCUUUUACUGAGGAGUGGCUUCCGUCUGGCCACUCUACCAUAAAGGCCUGAUUGGUGGCGUGCUGCAGAGAUGGUUGUCCAUCUGGAAGGUUAUCCCAUCAAGGCAGAGGAACUCUAGAUCUCUCUCUUAGUGACCAUUGGGUUCUUGGUCAGCUCCCUGACCAAGGCCUUUUUCCCUGAUUGCUUAGUUUUGCCGGGUGGCAAGCUCUAGGAAGAGUCUGGAUGGUUACAAACUUCUUCCAUUGAAGAAUGAUGGUUGGUCAUUGUGUUCUUGGGGAGCUUCAAUGCUGUGGAAAUGUUUUGGUACCCUUCCCCAGAUCUGUGCCUCAACAUAAUCCUGUCUCAGAGCUCUACAGACAAUUCAUUCGACCUCAUGGCUUGGUUUUUGCUCUGACAUGCACUGUCAACUGUGGGACCUUAUAUAGACAUCUGUGUGCCUUUCCAAAUCAUGUCCAAUCAAUUGAAUACUUACUUAACUAAUGUAUUUCUGUUUUAGUUUUUUUAUACAUUUGCAAACAUUUCUCAAAACCUGUUCCUUCUUUGUCAUAAAAAAAAAGGAAAAUGGUCAUUGUCCUGUUGGAAGGCGAACCUUCGCCCCAGUCUGAGGUCCUGGUAGAACCUUCCAUAAGGACAACCAUCUCUGCAGCACUCCACCAAUCAAGCCUUUAAGGUAGAGUGGCCAGAUGAAAGCCAAUCCUCAGUAAAAGGUACAUGACAGCCCGCUUGGAAUUUGCCAAAAGGCACCUAAAGGACUCUCAGACCAUGAGCAACAAGAUUCUCUGGUCUGAUGAAACCAAGAUUGAACUAUUUUGCCUGAAUGCCAAGCAUCACGUCUGGGGAAACCUGGCACCAUCCCUACGGUGAAGCAUGGUGGUGGCAGCAUCAUGCUGUGGGGAUGUUUUUAAGCAGCAGGGACUGUGAAAUUAGUCAGGAUCGAGGAAAAUAUGAACGGAGGAAAGUACAAAUAGAUCCUUGAUGAAAGCCUGCUCCAGAGUGCUCAGGACCUCAGACUGCGGCGAAGGUUCUCCUUCCAACAGGACAAUGACCAUAAGCACACAGCCAAGACAACGCAGGAGUGGCUUCGGGACAAGUCUCUGAAUGUCCUUGAGUGACCCAGCCAGAGCCCGGACUUAAACCCAAUCAAACAUCUCUGGAGAGAACUGAAAAUAGCUGUUUAGCAACGCUCCCCAUUCAAUCUGACAGAGCUUGAGAUGAUCUGCAGAGAAGAAUGGAAGAAACUCCCCAAAUACAGAUGUGCCAAGAAUGUAGUUUCAUACCCAAGAAGACUCAAGAAUUUAAUCACUGCCAAAGGUGCUUCAACAAAGUACUAAGUAAAGGGUCCGAAUACUUAUGUAAAGGUGAUUUUUUUUUUUAAGAUUUUUUUUUCCCUUUUCAUUGUGGGGUAUUGUGUGUAGAUUGAUAUGGGGGAAAUGAUGUAAUCAAUUUUAGAAUAAGGCUGUAACGUAACAAAAAAUGUAAAACGUCAAGAGGUCUGAAUACUUUUCUAAUGCACUGUUGCAAAUAUAAGCAAACAUCUGUAUACAUCCCAGAGUGCAUGUUAAGAAAUGUUGGAAUUUCUAUCCUUGACUGUGUUUGCUUGUGACAGACAUAUGGUUGUUGCAUUUAUCUAGUGUCAAUUCUGUAACUUUCAUGAAGUGAGUCCCUAAGUGACUAUAUUAUCCUUAAAUUUUAAUCUGCCUUUUAUUUAAGCUUCCCUCCUCGAGCCACGACAAGCAGACCAACAGAAGUAAUUUCUAGUGACGUUAUGCUUGAUUCCGGAGCUCAGAGGCAUGUGUCAAAAUCGCUAAGCAGCUAACUUCGAAGCAGUGUGCCGAUGGCUGUAUCACUUUAUCAAUGACGUUCAAAGCUUUGUUUGAUCACAUGCUUUUCAAAAUGUGUGUUGUAACAUGCAAGAUCCUGAUUUCACCAUGGUUUCACUGCUUUCUUCGAUUCCAAGCUGCUUUCAAACGCAGACCUCUACUGAUAAAAUUUACUCUCACAGGUGGCCAAAAAUAACUAUCUAAAAGCCACACCUCCUGGAAAUAACCUAUGAAUAACUAAAAAAAAACAGCUGCUUGGUCAACACGGCAUGAAAAUGAAUGAAAACCCAAUUGAUUAUUAAAUUAACCCAUGUUUGUUGACUACCAGGGUUUGGAAGACGUGUCAAAUUAAUUCCGGAAAGCGCAGAGUGUCCGUGGGAUUUCCCUCUUCCCCCCAAAAGCUCACCACCCCAUUCCACUAUUAAACCUAUCUAAUCCUACUCCAGGCCAACGGCUAGGAGGACAGAACACUACCACUCAACACCCC